GCGGGCGUAGCUUAGUUGGAUAAAGCGCCUCCCUGUCACGGAGGAGAUCGAGGGUUCGAGUCCCUUCGCCCGCG
rnacentral:tRNA from 2 species